rnacentral:rRNA from 1 species
GACGAACGCUGGCGGCGUGCUUAACACAUGCAAGUCGAGCGGUAAGGCUCCUUCGGGAGUACAGGAGCGGCGAACGGGUGAGUAACACGUGAGUAAUCUGCCCUUCACUUCGGGAUAACCACCGGAAACGGUGGCUAAUACCGAAUACGACCAGUCUUCGCAUGAGGUGCUGGUGGAAAGUCUUUUCGGUGAAGGAUGUGCUCGCGGCCUAUCAGCUUGUUGGUGGGGUAAUGGCCUACCAAGGCUUCGACGGGUAGCCGGCCUGAGAGGGUGACCGGCCACACUGGGACUGAGACACGGCCCAGACUCCUACGGGAGGCAGCAGUGGGGAAUAUUGGACAAUGGGCGAAAGCCUGAUCCAGCAACGCCGCGUGAGGGAUGACGGCCUUCGGGUUGUAAACCUCUUUCAGUACCGACGAAGCGCCCUGUCGGGUGGUGACGGUAGGUACAGAAGAAGGACCGGCCAACUACGUG